AGUCAAACACUGACUCGAACAUUGAGCUUCCAGUAGCUGCAGCGGCCACUGCAACUGCUGCAGCUGUAGUAAGCAACCACUGCGUCUGUCAGCAAACAGUAUGAGCAAGGCAGUCAAAGUGACGGACACAUGGAUGGCACUGGUUAUAUAUAGUAAGCAAUGACAGUACAAAAUCUGAUUUUACAUUAGAUGAUGUUGCCGAGUAUGACAUUCCGUUGGAGGAAAUCACACUGGGUGAACGUAUGGGACUUGGUAUUAACUGUACUUUGCUCUAUAAGAUUUGGUUACAUUCUUUUGUUAGAUGGUGUUAUUUAUAAUUUUAUACAUAUAAAUUCCCAUAUGAUGACUAAAAUUACAUUUUGCUGGCCUAUUUUUUGCAUUCAGGAUCGUAUGGGGAGGUAUACCGUGGUGAAUGGCGUGGAACAGAAGUUGCUGUAAAAAGAUUUCUUGAUCAAGCUAUAUCUGGUGGAAUCACUUGAAGAAUUCAAAAGUGAGGUUCAAAUAAUGAAAAGACUGAGGCAUCCAAAUGUUGUUCUCUUCAUGGGAGCAGUUACUCGACCCCCGAAUCUUUCUAUUGUUACUGAGUUUCUUCCCAGAGGAAGUUUGUACAGACUAAUUCAUCGACCAAACAAUCAAUUAGAUGAGCGAAGGCGGUUGAGGAUGGCCCUUGAUACUG